rnacentral:rRNA from 1 species
CCUACGGGAGGCAGCAGUGGGGAAUUUUGGACAAUGGGCGCAAGCCUGAUCCAGCCAUGCCGCGUGCGGGAAGAAGGCCUUCGGGUUGUAAACCGCUUUUGUCAGGGAAGAAAUCCUUUGGGCUAAUACCUCGGAGGGAUGACGGUACCUGAAGAAUAAGCACCGGCUAACUACGUGCCAGCAGCCGCGGUAAUACGUAGGGUGCGAGCGUUAAUCGGAAUUACUGGGCGUAAAGCGUGCGCAGGCGGUUAUGCAAGACAGAUGUGAAAUCCCCGGGCUUAACCUGGGAACUGCAUUUGUGACUGCAUAGCUCGAGUACGGCAGAGGGGGAUGGAAUUCCGCGUGUAGCAGUGAAAUGCGUAGAUAUGCGGAGGAACACCGAUGGCGAAGGCAAUCCCCUGGGCCUGUACUGACGCUCAUGCACGAAAGCGUGGGGAGCAAACAGGAUUAGAUACCCUGGUAGUCCACGCCCUAAACGAUGUCAACUGGUUGUUGGACGGCUUGCUGUUCAGUAACGAAGCUAACGCGUGAAGUUGACCGCCUGGGGNGGACGGCGCGAGUAGAACGACGAAGUAGAGUUAGACGGCGUGAGACGUUAGCCGACGGACGACGACGAGGGAGGAGG